GAAGGCCGCCGGGCAGUCGCGCGUCUUCGACGUGAGGAAAGUCCGGGCUUCACAGGGCAGCGUGCAGGAUAACGUCCUGUCGGGGCAACUCGAAGGAAAGUGCCACAGAAACAUACCGGCCGAACUGGUUCGCCAGCCUCGGCUAAGGGUGAAAUCGGGGGGUAAGAGCCCCCGGAGCUUCACGGUGACGUGGGCUCGGGUAAACCCCACGCGAAGCAAGACAGCUCGCAGCGCAGCCCGGUUCUCGAACCGUUCUGCCGGACGGCCCGUCCGUACGAGUCAGGUCGCAAUGAGGCGCACCGUGAGGCGCGUCCCAGAGAGAUGGCUGCCGCCGCGCAAGCGGUACAGAAUCCGGCUUACAGGCGGCCUUCGCUU
rnacentral:RNase_P_RNA from 1 species